rnacentral:rRNA from 1 species
UAUUGGUCAAUGGCCGGAAGGCUGAACCAGCCAAGUCGCGUGAGGGAAUAAGGCCCUACGGGUCGUAAACCUCUUUUGUCAGGGAGCAAGGCCGCCCACGUGUGGACGGAAGGAGAGUACCUGGAGAAAAAGCAUCGGCUAACUCCGUGCCAGCAGCCGCGGUAAUACGGGGGAUGCGAGCGUUAUCCGGAUUUAUUGGGUUUAAAGGGUGCGUAGGCGGCCUGCCAAGUCAGCGGUAAAAUUGCGGGGCUCAACCCCGUACAGCCGUUGAAACUGCCGGGCUCGAGUGGGCGAGAAGUAUGCGGAAUGCGUGGUGUAGCGGUGAAAUGCAUAGAUAUCGCGCAGAACUCCGAUUGCGAAGGCAGCAUGCCGGCUCCACACUGACGCUGAGGCACGAAAGCGUGGGUAUCG